UGUACGUAUCCUACUUCACUUGGCUUGUUUUCUAGUGUAUCCAUCAUAUCAAUCCAUUGAUUACAGUUGGAUAUGCAUAUAUGGUCUAUAAAUAAGAGCAGCGUAGAGAAGGUUUAAUUGCACUAUCAACUCCCGAAAUGAAGUCCACUCUACUUAUAAUCUCCCUUCUCUUGGCGUCCACACUUUUCCUUCCUUCUUCCAUUUUAGCUAGACAAUUAUCUGUAAUGGUGCAGCCAAACCUGAUCUUGAUGAGGGACCCGUGACUGGAGGAACCGGCAAUCCAAACAAGCCAGCACUGCCAUGUCGUCCUGCUGUUCCCUAUAGUAAAUGUCUGAACCUCCCCCCAAAAUCAAAACCACCGGCCUGAAGGUGUUUGAGAUAAGAAGCUGCAUGGUUGAUCGUCGACAGCAUGCAGUACUGCUUAAUAAGAUGAAGUAGGUUUUGUACGUCUAAUAUAUAUAUCGUUUUUGGGGUUUCUGUGGCUUAUUAAUUCUGAUUGCUUUUAUAUAUAUGCACUCAGAAUUAAACCUA